UACGUAGGAGGCGAGCGUUGUCCGGAUUCACUGGGCGUAAAGGGCGCGUAGGCGGCUCGCCGAGUCCUUGUGUGAAAUCCCCCGGCUCAACCGGGGGGGCGCGCGGGAUACUGGCGGGCUGGAGGGCAUCAGAGGGAGGCGGAACCCCCGGUGUAGUGGUGAAAUGCGUAGAUAUCGGGGAGAACACCCGUGGCGAAGGCGGCCUCCUGGGGUGCACCUGACGCUGAGGCGCGAAAGCGUGGGGAGCGAACCGG
rnacentral:rRNA from 1 species